rnacentral:tRNA from 1 species
AGAAACUUAGGAUAACAAGACCAAGAGCCUUCAAAGCCCUAAGCAGAAGUGAAACUCUUCUAGUUUCUG